rnacentral:lncRNA from 1 species
UCCAGCCAUCAACCUUCAAUAGUGUCAGUCAGACUUCAACAAUGCCAACCGGACUUCCACAGGAUCCUCCAGACUCCUCCAGCGGAUGAACCUCCCCAACGCCACCCGAAGUCCACUACCGGUCGACCCUCUGUUGGAUUCCUCAUGAAACUAGACUUUUCCAACAGAAAGUCCCCAUCCGAGCUUCUAUAGCAGAUGGUUCCUGCAUGCAGCAUCAGCACUCUAGGCACCCAACAAUAGUAGACCCGUGAGCAACCCCGAAAACAUCCGAUCUUCUCUUGGAUUGAUGAGAUAGAGAGCCAUUCCACCCCAUCGAACAUCCCAACCGAGCUUCAGCCGACAGAUCCG